AUUGAACGCUGGCGGCAGGCCUAACACAUGCAAGUCGAGCGGAUGAAGGGAGCUUGCUCCUGGAUUCAGCGGCGGACGGGUGAGUAAUGCCUAGGAAUCUGCCUUGUAGUUGGGGAUAACGUCCGGAAACGGGCGCUAAUACCGCAUACGUCCUGAGGUAGAAAGUGGGGGAUCUUCGGACCUCACGCUAUCAGAUGAGCCUAGGUCGGAUUAGCUAGUUGGUGGGGUAAAGGCCUACCAAGGCGACGAUCCGUAACUGGUCUGAGAGGAUGAUCAGUCACACUGGAACUGAGACACGGUCCAGACUCCUACGGGAGGCAGUAGUGGGGAAUAUUGGACAAUGGGCGAAAGCCUGAUCCAGCCAUGCCGCGUGUGUGAAGAAGGUCUUCGGAUUGUAAAGCACUUUAAGUUGGGAGGAAGGGAAGUAAGUUAAUACCUUGCUGUUUUGACGUUACCAACAGAAUAAGCACCGGCUAACUUCGUG
rnacentral:rRNA from 1 species